rnacentral:rRNA from 1 species
UACGGAGGAUCCGAGUGUUAUCCGGAAUUAUUGGGUUUAAAGGGUGCGUAGGCGGCUUUUUUAAGUCAGCGGUGAAAUUUUGCAGCUUAACUGUAACAGUGCCGUUGAUACUGGGGAGCUAGGAUUUGGUUGCUGUGGGUGGAAUGUGUGGUGUAGCGGUGAAAUGCUUAGAGAUCACACAGAAUAUCGAUUGCGAAGGCAGCUCACAAAGCCAAGAUUGACGCUGAGGCACGAAAGUGUGGGGAUCAAACAGGAUUAGAUA